CAAGUCGAACGGGAAAUAUUUCAUUGAGACUUCGGUGGAUUUGAUCUAUUUCUAGUGGCGGACGGGUGAGUAACGCGUGGGUAACCUGCCUUAUACAGGGGGAUAACAGUCAGAAAUGGCUGCUAAUACCGCAUAAGCGCACAGAGCUGCAUGGCUCAGUGUGAAAAACUCCGGUGGUAUAAGAUGGACCCGCGUUGGAUUAGCUAGUUGGUGGGGUAACGGCCCACCAAGGCGACGAUCCAUAGCCGGCCUGAGAGGGUGAACGGCCACAUUGGGACUGAGACACGGCCCAGACUCCUACGGGAGGCAGCAGUGGGGAAUAUUGCACAAUGGGGGAAACCCUGAUGCAGCGACGCCGCGUGAAGGAAGAAGUAUCUCGGUAUGUAAACUUCUAUCAGCAGGGAAGAUAGUGACGGUACCUGACUAAGAAGCCCCGGCUAACUACGUGCCAGCAGCCGCGGUAAUACGUAGGGGGCAAGCGUUAUCCGGAUUUACUGGGU
rnacentral:rRNA from 1 species